UCUUAAGGAUGAGCAAAGGAAGUAGUUUCUUCAGAUGGCAUCUACUCCUAGUGAAGAUACUGUGAG
rnacentral:pre_miRNA from 1 species